UACUUUUAUGGAUAAGCUAGU
rnacentral:miRNA from 1 species